AUGGUGGACUCAUCGACUCAAUGUGCAGAAGGGUAUGCCAUUUCGCCAACCAAAACCAUCAGCAACACUAACCACGGAUUCGUCCCUUCUGGGAUGGGGCACGCACUUGGACACCCUCACAGUUCGGGGAACUUGGUCGCCGACAGAGAAAAGCCAUCACAUCAACUUUCUGGAGAUGCUAGCGGUCCAGAAGGCCCUCAGGGCUUUCGAGUUCCCACUUUCGGGGCGUGUUGUCCGUCUACUGACAGACAACACCACGACAAAAUUUUACAUCAACAAACAAGGGGGAACUCGGUCCCGCAAGCUGAUAAACCUAACCUUACAGAUCUGGGAUUGGUGCAUCACCAGGGGGAUACAUCUGGUGGCACUUUAUCUCCCCGGAAAGGACAACAAGCUAGCAGACGAGUUGAGCAGGACUCCCAGCUCCUGCCACGAAUGGCGGAUCCACCCGCAGAUACUAGACUCAGUCUUCGCAGCAUGGGGCCAACUGGCGGUGGACCUAUUCGCCUCCCCCGAGAACCGCCACUGCGAUCUAUUCUGCGCAAGACGCCCUCCAAACACCCAGUCGGGAUGUCUGGGCGACGCGUUUCUUUACACCUGGGCACCCGGGUUGCUUUACGCGUACCCACCAAUUCCUCUGAUAACGAGAGUCAUAUCGAAACUACUUCAAGACAACGCAGAUUGUAUUCUUCUAACACCGUGGUGGCCUCGGCAACCGUGGUUCGGGCCACUUCUCCAAGCAUCUCAAGGAAUAUUCCAUCACCUACCCUUCAGGCCAGACGUCCUGACAACCCACAACGGCCUUGUCCGUCACCCGGACACUCGCUCUCUGCGCCUCACGGCAUGGAGGAUAUGGCCUUGCUCUCAGCCCCUGUGAGAGCUAUUAUUGCAGCUGCACAAAAGGACUCAACAAAAAAGUCAUAUACUUAUAAGUGGCAGCGAUUCUCGGAGUUCGCUAAGCAAGCGGGUACCGAUCCUUCAUCGGCUCCCAUUCCAGUAGUGCUUGACUUCCUUCACUCGCUUUCAAAUAAAAGAUUGUCCAUUUCCUCGAUCAAGUGCUACCUGGCAGCCAUCUCUUGGUUCCGCCGUAAGGCCGGUUUACCCUCCUGCUUCGGGGACCCGUGGGUUCGUCUAUUCUUGAAAGGACAUAAAAAUCUCUUUCCGCCUGUCUUUCCGCCAGUCCCAGCAUGGAGCUUAGAGCUGGUUCUGUCCCAGAUGUCCAAACCACCUUUCGAACCCGUGGCAACCAUAGAUUUGUGUCAUCUAUCCUGGAAAACAGCCUUUCUAACUGCUAUCACCACAGCGAGGCGUGCCUGUGAACUCUGUGCGCUCAGGGCUGAUGAGCCUUAUCUCCGGUUCCACAAGGACAAGGCGGUCUUGCGGAUGGACAUUUCCUUCCUACCAAAGGUUGUGUCGAAGUUCCACCUGUCGCAAGACAUUAUACUUCCAGCCUUUUUUCAAAAUCCGGUGUCACCAUUGGAGCAUGCGCUCCAUGCCUUGGACGUACGGAGGGCUCUAGCAUAUUAUGUGGAUAGAACACGCGCUUAUAGGAAAUCCCCACGUUUGUUUGUAAAGUAUAGACAGGAUGCCAUGGGCCUCCCGAUAACGUCACAGCGACUCUCGGCGUGGAUCGUUGCAGCAAUACGCCUAGCAUACAACCUCGCUGGCCGUGAACCACCGACCACAUUGAAGGCGCAUUCCACGAGAGCUGUGGCCACUUCGUGCGCUUUUAUGAAGGGCGUUCCGUUGGAAGAGGUUUGUCGAGCAGCGACCUGGGCGACGCCCUCGACAUUCGUCUCCCACUACAAGGUGGACGCUGUGUCCAGGAGAGAUGGUGCAUUCGGCAGAGCGGUGCUGUCUUCGUGUGUGGCAUGA
rnacentral:lncRNA from 1 species